rnacentral:rRNA from 1 species
CAAUAGCGUAUAUUAAAGUUGUUGCAGUUAAAAAGCUCGUAGCUGGAUUUCUGGUGGGAGCGAUCGGUCUGGCGCUUAGCGCGAGUACUUGCAUCGUCUCCGGCCAUCCUUGGGGAGAGUCUGUCUGGCAUUAAGUUGUCGGGCAGAGGAUCCUCAUCGUUUACUGUGAAAAAAUUAGAGUGUUCAAAGCAGGCUUAUGCCGUUGAAUAUAUUAGCAUGGAAUAAUAAGAUAGGACUUUGGUACUAUUUUGUUGGUUUGCGCACCAAAGUAAUGAUUAAUAGGGACAGUUGGGGGUAUUCGUAUUCCGUUGUCAGAGGUGAAAUUCUUGGAUUUACGGAAGACGAACUACUGCGAAAGCAUUUACCAAGGAUGUUUUCAUUAA